AUUGAACGCUGGCGGCAGGCCUAACACAUGCAAGUCGAGCGGAUGAAGGGAGCGUUCGCCUGGAUUCAGCUGCGGACGGGUGAGUAAUUCCUAGGAAGCUGCCUGGUAGUGGGGGAUAACGUCCGGUAACGGGCGCUAAUACCGCAUACGUUAUGAGGUAGAAAGUGGGGGAUCUUCAGACCUCACGCUAUCAGAUGAGCCUAGGUCGGAUUAGCUGGUUGGUGGGGUAAAGUCCUACCAAGGCGACGAUCCGUAACUGGUCUGAGAGGAUGAUCAGUCACACUGGAACUGAGACACGGUCCAGACUCCUACGGGAGGCAGCAGUGGGGAAUAUUGGACAAUGGGCGAAAGCCUGAUCCAGCCAUGCCGCGUGUGUGAAGAAGGUCUUCGGAUUGUAAAGCACUUUAAGUUGGGAGGAAGAGCAGUAAGUUAAUACCUUGCUGCUUUGACGUUACCAACAGAAUAAGCACCGGCUAACUUCGU
rnacentral:rRNA from 1 species